rnacentral:lncRNA from 1 species
GCUGUCUUCAGUAUAUCUCAACAGAAAAUAAACCACGAUAUUUAUUUUAGAUAUCCUAUAGGAUCAUUCAGCUAAAGUUUGGUUAGAAUUGGUUCAGCAGUUUCAGAGGAGAAGAUGUUUGAUAUAGUUUACACCAGACAGAUGACGACGAUAGACGCCAAGUGCUGACAAAAGCUCACUUAUCCUUGGGAAAGGUGAGCUUAAAAGAAU